GUAGUCAUGCUUGUCUCAAAGAUUAAGCCAUGCAUGUCUAAGUAUAAGCAACUAUACUGUGAAACUGCGAAUGGCUCAUUAAAUCAGUUAUCGUUUAUUUGAUAGUACCUUACUACUUGGAUAACCGUGGUAAUUCUAGAGCUAAUACAUGCUAAAAACCCCGACUUCGGAAGGGGUGUAUUUAUUAGAUAAAAAACCAAUGCCCUUCGGGGCUCCUUGGUGAUUCAUAAUAACUUAACGAAUCGCAUGGCCUUGUGCCGGCGAUGGUUCAUUCAAAUUUCUGCCCUAUCAACUUUCGAUGGUAGGAUAGUGGCCUACCAUGGUUUCAACGGGUAACGGGGAAUUAGGGUUCUAUUCCGGAGAGGGAGCCUGAGAAACGGCUACCACAUCCAAGGAAGGCAGCAGGCGCGCAAAUUACCCAAUCCCGACACGGGGAGGUAGUGACAAUAAAUACUGAUACAGGGCUCUUUUGGGUCUUGUAAUUGGAAUGAGUACAAUUUAAAUCCCUUAACGAGGAACAAUUGGAGGGCAAGUCUGGUGCCAGCAGCCCCCCCCGUG
rnacentral:rRNA from 1 species